UCGUCAUCGUAGGGUUAGUCGGGUCCUAAGUCGAGUCCGAAAGGGGUAGACGAUGGCAAAUUGGUUAAUAUUCCAAUACCAACAUUAGUGUGCGAUGGAAGGACGCUUAGGGCUAAGGGGGCUAGCGGAUGGAAGUGCUAGUCUAAGGUCGUAGGAGGUUAUACAGGCAAAUCCGUAUAACAAUACUCCGAGAACUGAAAGGCUUUUUGAAGUCUUCGGAUGGAUAGAAGAACCCCUGAUGCCGUCGAGCCAAGAAAAGUUUCUAAGUUUAGCUAAUGUUGCCCGUACCGUAAACCGACACAGGUGGGUGGGAUGAGUAUUCUAAGGCGCGUGGAAGAACUCUCUUUAAGGAACUCUGCAAAAUAGCACCGUAUCUUCGGUAUAAGGUGUGGUUAGCUUUGUAUUAGGAUUUACUCCGAAAGCAAGGAAACUUACAACAAAGAGUCCCUCCCGACUGUUUACCAAAAACACAGCACUCUGCUAACUCGUAAGAGGAUGUAUAGGGUGUGACGCCUGCCCGGUGCUCGAAGGUUAAUUGAUGGGGUUAGCAUUAGCGAAGCUCUUGAUCGAAGCCCGAGUAAACGGCGGCCGUAACUAUAACGGUCCUAAGGUAGCGAAAUUCCUUGUCGGUUAAAUACCGACCUGCAUGAAUGGCGUAACGAGAUGGGAGCUGUCUCAAAGAGGGAUCCAGUGAAAUUGUAGUGGAGGUGAAAAUUCCUCCUACCCGCGGCAAGACGGAAAGACCCCGUGGACCUUUACUACAGCUUGACACUGCUACUUGGAUAAGAAUGUGCAGGAUAGGUGGGAGGCUUUGAGUAUAUGACGCCAGUUGUAUAUGAGCCAUUGUUGAGAUACCACUCUUUCUUAUUUGGGUAGCUAACCAGCUUGAGUUAUCCUCAAGUGGGACAAUGUCUGGUGGGUAGUUUGACUGGGGCGGUCGCCUCCCAAAUAAUAACGGAGGCUUACAAAGGUUGGCUCAGAACGGUUGGAAAUCGUUCGUAGAGUAUAAAGGUAUAAGCCAGCUUAACUGCAAGACAUACAAGUCAAGCAGAGACGAAAGUCGGUCUUAGUGAUCCGGUGGUUCUGUGUGGAAGGGCCAUCGCUCAAAGGAUAAAAGGUACCCCGGGGAUAACAGGCUGAUCUCCCCCAAGAGCUCACAUCGACGGGGAGGUUUGGCACCUCGAUGUCGGCUCAUCGCAUCCUGGGGCUGGAGCAGGUCCCAAGGGUAUGGCUGUUCGCCAUUUAAAGCGGUACGCGAGCUGGGUUCAGAACGUCGUGAGACAGUUCGGUCCCUAUCUGCCGUGGGCGUAAGAAGAUUGAAGAGAUUUGACCCUAGUACGAGAGGACCGGGUUGAACAAACCACUGGUGUAGCUGUUGUUCUGCCAAGAGCAUCGCAGCGUAGCUAAGUUUGGAAAGGAUAAACGCUGAAAGCAUCUAAGCGUGAAGCCAACUCUAAGAUGAAUCUUCUCUAAGCUCUCUAGAAGACUACUAGUUUGAUAGGCUGGGUGUGUAAUGGAUGAAAGUCCUUUAGCUGACCAGUACUAAUAGAGCGUUUGGCUUAUCUUUAAUAAAGCAU
rnacentral:rRNA from 1 species